GGUGGCACAACGGAUCAGUGUGUCUGGUUGUUGACCAGAAGGUUGGUGGUUUGAGCCCACCCAGGCA